rnacentral:rRNA from 1 species
UACGAAGGGUGCAAGCGUUACUCGGAAUUACUGGGCGUAAAGCGUGCGUAGGUGGUUUGUUAAGUCUGCUGUGAAAGCCCCGGGCUCAACCUGGGAAUGGCCGUUGAAACUGGCGAACUGGAGUGUGGCAGAGGGGGGUGGAAUUCCGCGUGUAGCAGUGAAAUGCGUAGAGAUGCGGAGGAACACCGAUGGCGAAGGCAGCCCCCCUGGGCUAACACUGACGCUCAGGCACGAAAGCGUGGGGAGCAAACAGG